UGGGGAAUUUUGGACAAUGGGCGAAAGCCUGAUCCAGCAAUGCCGCGUGUGUGAAGAAGGCCUUCGGGUUGUAAAGCACUUUUGUCCGGAAAGAAAUCCUUGGCUCUAAUACAGUCGGGGGAUGACGGUACCGGAAGAAUAAGCACCGGCUAACUACGUGCCAGCAGCCGCGGUAAUACGUAGGGUGCAAGCGUUAAUCGGAAUUACUGGGCGUAAAGCGUGCGCAGGCGGUUUGCUAAGACCGAUGUGAAAUCCCCGGGCUCAACCUGGGAACUGCAUUGGUGACUGGCAGGCUAGAGUAUGGCAGAGGGGGGUAGAAUUCCACGUGUAGCAGUGAAAUGCGUAGAGAUGUGGAGGAAUACCGAUGGCGAAGGCAGCCCCCUGGGCCAAUACUGACGCUCAUGCACGAAGGCGUGGGGAGCAAACAGGAUUAGAUACCCUGGUAGUCCACGCCCUAAACGAUGUCAACUAGUUGUUGGGGGAUUCAUUUCCUUAGUAACGUAGCUAACGCGUGAAGUUGACCGCCUGGGGAGUACGGUCGCAAGAUUAAAACUUAAAUGAAUUGACGGGGUCAUAGCUGUUUCCU
rnacentral:rRNA from 1 species